UUCUCACUUCAUCUCCCUCACCAUCAGAGACGCUUCCGUAACCCUAGCGCCGCCCUAGUGUCUCCGGUGGCGGCGCCGCUUCCAAUCGACCCCAACUCAACACCACAGACUCCCCUUUGCCUCCCCAUUCCGAGUCCACACUCCGUUUCCUUCAAAUCACACUAGAUUCUGUCAAAUCUUGAUUUGAAGAGAUGAACCCUAAAAUCCCAAAAAACCAAAUCGGCGAGUUUUGAAGAUUUGAGGUCAGAUUGGCUUUAUUUGUGUGUUUUCACUUGAGAACACACGAUUAAGCCCAUUUCGGUGAAAAUCGAAGGCUCGAUGGUUAAUCCAAGAUUUGUUCCGACAGAUUCUUAGUUAUUUUCAUCUUUUUUUUCCUAUUCUCAUUUUUCUUCUUCUAUUGCGUUUAAGUUCCAGUUUUCAUCUUUUCUUGCUUCAUCUCUUCUAUUUUUCUCUAUCGUUUUCUUUUCAUUUAGAAUCAUUUCUGAUUGCAUGUUUAAAGUUAAAGUCUGUUCGUGCAUGAUUAUUUUAACUUCUUCGUUCUUGCUGUUAUUUCGUUUUUUUGUUUUUAAUGAUUCUGAAAAUUCUUCCUAGCCCUUUAAAUUCAUGUUUCUGAUUUGAAUCUGGGCUCUGUUAAUUAGAGGCCCAGAAAAAUGAGUUAACCCAGUCUUGCAAGCUCAGGUUUUUGAGUUGAACCAAUGGGUCAAAUUGACCCAUGAGGUCUCUGAAGUAAAACAUGGGUACUAAGGGGGUAGUUUAGGAAUUCUAGUUAGGAGAAUCUCUUGUAACCAACUUAGAAGCUUCCUAGAAGCUGGGGAUUGGGACUAAACUGAAAUAGUGAUUUUUAAACUAAGGGUACUUGAGGAAAAAUAAAAAUACAAAAAGGUUAAAUAUGCAAAAACUGAUUUCUUUAUGCUGCCCUAAAAGCUUGCCUAUAAAGGCACUCUUUCUUCUUUAGCAAGUCAGACAUUAGAGACUAAAAAUUUUGAAAAAGGAAAACGGCUCAGCUUUACAAAAUAUUUGAAAACAACACUGAAAUCUCAUGCUUUUUGGUUGAAAACUGCCCAAAUUCUGCUUGAUUUGUGUUGUCUUGAUUUCAUUAGUUAGCUAAAAUUUCUGAAGAGUGUCAGUGUCUUGCACCUGGGGCAAAAUGGCUUGAGUUAUGGGUCUUUAAAAGUUCAGCCUGAGUUUUGCUAUUUGUGGGUACUACUUCAUUGCUGGGUUUUAAGCUGAUCCUACUACUGCUUCCAUAUUGCUGAGCACUUGCUGCUGCUUCUUCCUAAUCUUAUGUUCUUAUUUUGGUUUUAUUUGGUUGUAUUCAGGUACAUACUCUUAGGCUCUAUUGAAUGUGAAGUUAGAUUCGAAGAUUGAAAUGGAACAUAAAAGUUUGAAGCAUAGCAUCAAAUUACUUGUUCAUAGUUUAGUUUUAUUAUUUUUCCUUUUCCUUGAAUCCCUUUGUUCUAAUUUCUUUUGAUGCAUAUUGUUUGUUUGGCUGAGUCACGACCCUAGUUCAUCAAUUGUGAACCUGUCAUGAUGGCACCCAGUCUUCGCGACUACGUAAGCCUAACACCUUACGUAAUUUAACAGUUCGAAGUAAAACAGUAAACCAACACUAAUUAGAAUAAGAAAUGCAUAACGGUGCCGCUUGGCACAGACACCGAGUACACAACUUCUGAAAAUAACAUCGCAAAACCCGGUAUCCCACGGGCAACACAGGCUCUGAGAACAUAAGUAUAGCUUUAAUAAAUGGAGUGUCUAGUACAAUAGAGAAAAACAUGAAAUAGUACUACUAACUACAUGAUAGAAUGGGCGGAGACUCUCUGGUCUGCGGAUGCAGCACAUAUACCUCAAGUGUCCGAUGGCAAGCUUCGAGCUCACUGAUGAUACUCCUGGCCGGAUGCACAUCGAUCUGCACAACAAAGGUGUGCAGAAGAGUAGCACGAGUACACCACAACGGUACU
rnacentral:lncRNA from 1 species